GAUGAACGCUAGCUACAGGCUUAACACAUGCAAGUCGAGGGGCAGCGCAGUGUUGCAAUACACGGGCGGCGACCGGCGCACGGGGUGCGUAACGCGUAUCCAACCUUCCCGUUACUCUCGGAUAGCCUUCCGAAAGGGAGAUUAAUACGAGAUGGUGUUGAAAUUCCGCAUGUUAUUUCAACUAAAGAUUCAUCGGUAACGGAUGGGGAUGCGUGACAUUAGGUAGAUGGGCGGGGUAACGGCCCACCAUGCCUACGAUGUCUAGGGGUUCUGAGAGGAAGGUCCCCCACACUGGAACUGAGACACGGUCCAG
rnacentral:rRNA from 1 species